UCUAUAGUUAGGUCUUUUUACUUGUUGGUUGUCAACGUAAACGUUUCACUAAAAAUCCUAUCUCUAUUAGGACAUUUAAAAAUACAAUAUUCUAUUAAGGUUUUUGAUAUGAGCCGAGAUAAUUGAAAGAUAACUUAGUCAAUUCAAGGUGACUAACCUCUUGAACUUGAGGAGGAGAAAGGAUUUUUGGGAUUAAUUCUUUGCUUGAGUUCCGUUCCUUCCUUCACAGUACAUAUAUAAUACUCAUAAUGAGAUAACUAUCCAAACAAAUCGGAACUAAUUCCUAUCAAAUAUAUUUUGAAACAAUAUCAAUCUAAUCUACUACUGCUUAUUUAUCCUCAUCUGAUGCUGCAUAUUUAUUCAAAUUCAAACUUCAUCUUCUGCUGCAUAAUUAUCUGCCAUGUGGCCUUGGGACACAACAGUUUUCCAUUAAUUGUGGUGUUUUCUUCUUGUAAGCUUUACUCUAUUUUCAUACCCAACAGGUGACCAUUCUGAUUGCACUAGAUCAUGCAAUUGUUCAGAGGAUAGAUCCCAGUCUGCUGCUUAAAGGAAAAUGCAAUUGAGACAAUGUCUAUUGUUUCCAGCUGGAGGAACAAUUUAUUAUAAUUGCAAGCAGACGUACAAGAAGGAAGCUGGAAUGGGGGAAAGUUUGAGUAUGAAUUCGACGAAUUCAAGGCAAUUGGCCCUGAGAAAGUGCUGAGUUUUGCAAAGGAUGUGAGAAUUUAAGAAGUGGUCCUGGAAGGGGAUUCCCUUAUCACUGUGAAUGAUUUUAAAGUCUGGGAAAUAGAGCCUGAGGGGUUUAAAACCACCAGACAUAAUCCAAGAGCAAUACAUAAGAAUUUCGGGAAGCAUGUUUUGUCAAUCACUAUCAUUUUUAGUGUUAAAAAGAAAAACAGAUGCCUAUAAAUCUUCGAGGACAUUAACUGAAACUACAACUGAAAAGUUGGCAUCAGCUUUUGCUGGGGUAACAGAAAUUCAGAGUGCUAUUCACAAACUUAUCAUUUGCCAGACUCACUGCAUACCUAUGUUUUCCUUCAGAAGUUGGUAGUAAAGGACUGUCCUGAUCUGAGGUCUUUGCCAGGUGUCCCGUCCAUAAUAAGGUAUGGUAUUGAAGAAGGAAAAUGCUGAGACUACCGAAAAUGGCACAAUUUUGUGCCACAACUCGCCACGUGGCGAGUUGUAAUUGGUGAAGGUGUCCUCACAUGGCCCACAGACACAUCUUCACCAAUUACAACUCGUCACGUGAUGAGUUGUGACACAAAGUUGUGCCAUUUUUGGUGGUCCUAGUACAACUCAUGAACCACCCAAUGGGCUACAGUGUUAUAUCUCUCUUCUUCAAUAUAUGGAGAAUGGGAAUUGUGUGGGUUCUACUUCCAUUCAACACUCCCACCGGUCCCUCCAAAAGCUCAAAUUGUGUGGUCGUCUAAUCAGGCUACAGUCCACUCUCUCCUGGUCCUGGACCAAAUUCAAUACUUCAUUGCCCUUAAAAUUCUGUGGAUGGAGAAAUUUCAUGAAAUGGUAGCUUUGCCAAAGUGGUUGGGCAAUCUUUCCUCUCUUUAAAAGCCGUAUAUUGUGGAUUGCGAGAAGCUGAUGUAUCUGCCCACCGAGCAAGCCAUGCAACGCCUCACCAAAUUGGAAAAGCUGGUGAUUUAUGAUUGCCCAAAACUAAACAAUGAGCAGUCCAAGAUUAACCACAUUCCACUGGUUCAAAUCAAUACUUAGCAAUAGGGACAGCAUAUCUAUUGUGUUUUGCCAGAGGAAAAAUUAAUUUGUAGAGUUUGAAUUCGUUCCCAAGCCAAUUAAGAGCUGCGUAUUCGUCAUUUCCCCAAAUUAAAGGAAAAAUGUGCAAAGUGGUCCAGGAUUGCCCAUAUAUCAAAUAGCUGAUCACUAAAUGUCUUAAACAAAAAGCAGUUUGAAGAUGACCACUGUUCAGCCAGCUUUGACACCUAUAUGUCCUUAGCUGGAGCCUCUGCAGAGGUGCUGCAGUAGCUUUUCAUCUUUUUAAGAACUGAAGUUCUUGAACAUGAAUUGCUAGUACUUACCAGCAAUGCAGGAGGUGCGCUCCCUUUCUAUGGAAAGCUAAAUGGAAGAUUUCUGGAGCAGUUGUCAAAGCUGGGUGUUUUGUUCCUUACUGUUUGCUUUGAAAGGGAUACUGCAGCAAGAGUGGUCCGUUGGUAGAAGAUUCUUCAUAAUCCAAGAAUCACAGUGGAGGGAAUUCUAAAUUGGUUCCAAUGAGAUUGUUUCAUUGAAAUUUCGAAUACUUUUCCAAUGUCAAGGAUGCUUCAUGAUUGUUUGGGGCUAGGGUUAACUUUUUAUCUCUUUAAGAAUAGAAGUUCAGGAGCAAGAGUGCUGCUACCUACCAGCAGAGCAGGUGGCGCACUCACUUUCCAUGGAAAGCUUGAAUUGGUUCCAAAUUUCCAAUCUAAUUGUUUCAUUGUAAUUUGAGAUAAAAGGAGCAACAAAACCAACAUAUAUUUGAUGGCGUAAAUACAUUCUGAGAAUGGCUUUACUUGACUGCAUCCAAAGAAAUGGUGACAAUACUAAAAGUCCUACGAGCAGUUGAGCACCUCUUUGAAGCUUCUCCAAGGUUCAAAGUGGUUGCCUACCUCCUCAUCUCCUACAUUUGGAAAGGAUCAUGACCCAAAAGAAGGAACAUGUUCAUCAUUACAAGAAAUGAGUUCCCACCAAAUUGAAGAAGGCCAAGAAUUUGAGACAUACUCUCAGCGUGAAGAAACAUAAUUAGGAUGUUAGCACCACACCUUCUUGGGAUGUCAGGUUGGAUGAUGAUGAAGGUGAAGAAGAUGCUGAAUUCUUUGGAGCCCCAGCAUUUGAAUCAAAGCUGGCUCCUGAGGGGUACAAGGAAAUCACCAAACAUAAUCCAAGAGCAAUAAGUAAGAAUUUCGGGAAGCAUAUUUUGGAAAGCACUAUCAAUCUUACUAUUAAAAAGAAAAACAGAUGCCUACAAGCUUAAAAGGACUUUCACUGAAAUUGUAACUGAAAAUUUGG